rnacentral:rRNA from 1 species
AUUGAACGCUGGCGGCAUGCUUUACACAUGCAAGUCGAACGGCAGCGCGGGCUUCGGCCUGGCGGCGAGUGGCGAACGGGUGAGUAAUACAUCGGAACGUGCCCAGUAGUGGGGGAUAGCUCGGCGAAAGCCGGAUUAAUACCGCAUACGACCUGCGGGUGAAAGCGGGGGAUCUUCGGACCUCGCGCUAUUGUAGCGGCCGAUGGCAGAUUAGCUAGUUGGUGGGGUAAAGGCCUACCAAGGCGACGAUCUGUAGCUGGUCUGAGAGGACGACCAGCCACACUGGGACUGAGACACGGCCCAGACUCCUACGGGAGGCAGCAGUGGGGAAUUUUGGACAAUGGGCGAAAGCCUGAUCCAGCAAUGCCGCGUGUGUGAUGAAGGCCUUCGGGUUGUAAAGCACUUUUGGCGGGAACGAAAAGGACUGUGCCAAUACCACGGUUCGAUGACGGUACCCGCAGAAUAAGCACCGGCUAACUACGUG